CAGGGGGUAUUUUAUGUUUAAAAUGUUAGUUUUGGGGACUAAUGAAAUGGCUUGGCGUCUUUCCUCUGA
rnacentral:tRNA from 1 species